rnacentral:rRNA from 1 species
GACGAACGCUGGCGGCGUGCUUAACACAUGCCAGUCGAACGGAAAGGCCCUGCUUUUGUGGGGUGCUCGAGUGGCGAACGGGUGAGUAACACGUGAGUAACCUGCCCUUGACUUUGGGAUAACUUCAGGAAACUGGGGCUAAUACCGGAUAGGAGCUCCUGCUGCAUGGUGGGGGUUGGAAAGUUUCGGCGGUUGGGGAUGGACUCGCGGCUUAUCAGCUUGUUGGUGGGGUAGUGGCUUACCAAGGCUUUGACGGGUAGCCGGCCUGAGAGGGUGACCGGCCACAUUGGGACUGAGAUACGGCCCAGACUCCUACGGGAGGCAGCAGUGGGGAAUAUUGCACAAUGGGCGGAAGCGUGAUGCAGCAACGCCGCGUGCGGGAAGACGGCCUUCGGGUUGUAAACAGCUUUCGCCUGUGACGAAGCGUGAGUGACGGUAAUGGGUAAAGAAGCACCGGCUAACUACGUG